rnacentral:tRNA from 1 species
GGGGUUGUGGCUCAGUGGUAGAGCACUUGCCUAGCAUGUAUGAAGCACUGGGCUUGAUCCCCGGCACCA